rnacentral:rRNA from 1 species
GAUCAUGGCUCAGGAUGAACGCUAGCGGCAGGCUUAACACAUGCAAGUCGAGGGGCAGCAUGGUCUUAGCUUGCUAAGGCCGAUGGCGACCGGCGCACGGGUGAGUAACGCGUAUCCAACCUGCCUUACACUCUUGGACAGCCUUCUGAAAGGGAGAUUAAUACAAGAUGUUAUCAUGAGUAAGCAUUUUCCCAUGAUUAAAGGUUUACCGGUGUAAGAUGGGGAUGCGUUCCA